UACUUCGCCCUUUUUUAUUUUCGUAUUGUUUUUAGUGAAAACAGUCUUUUAAAAUGAACAUCGAAAUGUAUUUAGAAAAGACCAAAAAAACCUGUGUUUUGACUUUUCUAAAAUGAGCUGCUCUUUCUAAACAUUUCAACAUGUUCAUUUUUAUGUUUUCCAUUGUUCUAUCCCUCCCCAGCCCCAUUUUUUGUGGCUGAAACUAUGUGCCAAAUUGAACCCCAAAUUGCAAAUAAUGUCGGUCUUCCCCAAACAUCCUUUAUACAUUCUUUUCUCCAAAAAAAUGCUAUAAAUUCCCUGUAAGAGCAAUGAUGCAUUAUAGAUGCAGAGAGAAUAAGAUACUGGGGACAUCUAUUUAUGCAUAAUGGCAAACUCCUAUUGUUAUGGAUGGAGGCAGGAUCUGGCCCUGAAUAAUUCAGCUGUGUCCAUUAGCACAGCAUCUGGCACUGAACCAAGCACUGAUGCACCAAAGUGUUUACCUGCCAAGGUUGCUAUAUGGUGCCUGUCACUAACAUGUGAGAGCAACUGUUCACAACUGCUAGUGAAAACGGCUCUCAACCCCAAGUGGAGAUGCACUGGAGGGAAUCAUGGAGGCUCCUGCUGUUACACUUCCACCAUCAAGCCUGGUAUGACUUCUCUGCAUUAAUCCUCCUCCUGGAGGCAGGAGAGAGAAGGAUUUAAGCAGUGCCGUGGAUGUGGCAGGUUAAAGUCACCCGAUGCAGAGGGCCUAGCCCAAGGUGUAUAUGUGUGCCCUGUUUAAAUCCUAUCUUGGGCGUGUACGUAGGAUUUCGACAACACAAAGCACUUAGUCACAGAGGUGGAAUUCAUCCUGGUGUGCUCUCCCACCCUGAUUGAGUGUGAAACUGCAGCCCUGGAUAAAAAUACAUAAGACAUUGAGAGCUCAGGGCUAGGCAUUCACUAGGAACAUCAGUACCAAGGCUCCCUUUGACUUCGACAAAAUUACAAAUAUUUAACUUUGCAAAGUUAAAUGCCAACCAACCUGGGCAAUGCCUCCCAUCUGCUAAUGCACUCGCAGUAAGCUGCAGCCUGACCUCUUGUUUUCUGCUCCAGGUUGGUUUCUGAGGGAACUUUCUGCUGGUAAUAGAAUAUUAUCACUGUGUGCGUCAGCAUCCCUGUUGCAUUGGGAUUAGGGUCACAGGUGCUAACAACACUGAGCAGCCACAGCAUAUGGGAGUAGAAGUGUAAAACUCAGAGGAAUUCAGUGAGUGGAUUUUAAUUCAGACAGAUCCAGCUAAUUAAAUCAUCACUUGAAGAAGAUCACAUGUGAAACACAGAAUGUGUGUGUUUUUAUACACACUUGCCAAUGCCUCUAAAUUAAGCUAACAGUCCUGCCUCCUCUCUGAACCACAGCAUUCCCAUAAACGUGCUCUGAAGAUUAUAGCCAUUUUUCUCCUCUAAUUAAACCACCUAGAUAAACUUAUUUUAAAUUAACCAGUUAAAUGUGGGGCCUACAUUGGCAAGAGUGAUUACUCAUUUUGGGAGCCCACAUUGAACUAUCUUACAGGCAUCUGAUUUUCAGAGUCCUGUCACUUCAGAUGCCCAAAAAACUGAAGGAUCACAAAUCACUGGUAAGAUCAAAAAAAAAACAACUUUAGGCAAAAGAUUGGCCUUAACUCUACAUUGACUGGGAGCUGACACAUCAGGACAGCUUGGUGCUGUUGCUUAAAUGCUUAUUUUGUAUUUAGUGUUAAGGGUCUUUUUUCUUUUUAAUAGGGUGUAUGGAAUAUCCAGAAGGAGCUAUAAUCUGUCAGCAUCGUUCUAGCUCCUUGGAUAAAAGAUGCAUUUACAUUUAACGAUUCCCAGAUUCGACAUGGCCCUACAACUGCUUUGUGCUAUACCACCACUGCAAAGUGUUCCUGAACCUGACUUAGACUCAUCCCAGAGCAGGGGGAUGCUUUGGUGGCAGAGCAACAGUUCCCUGAGGCCUCAAUAAGCAUCCGAUCUUCAUUGUGUUAGGUGCUUACCUACGCACACAGGAAGCCAAGAUUUCUGUCCUUGCUUGCACAUCUGAAUAGCUAACAGUCCAAGACUCGGCUUCUGCAAACACUGGAGCACCCAGGAGUUACUUACAGGAGUUCUCUCUGCGGGUUUACUGGGGCUCCUCCUCUGGAUCCAGUUUGUGUAUGCUUGUAGAAUUUGUUCCUACAGCUUUAAUGUCCCUAACAAAGUACAUUACCGUCUAAGCAGGUUAGAACCAGAUUCCCCUUUCUACUUUUACCGAUCACGGUUUUUGUAGUGCCCCAGCUGGGCAGAUGAGCCAUAUAACCUGGUAGCCUCUUAUUUUGAUAUAAAGGAUUUUUCACAAUGCAGACUUAAGUUUCGAUUCCUCAGAGAAGCACUCAUUCCAUGGACAAGAACAAUGCUGAGGACUGCUUGGUUUUGGGGGAGUGGUUAGCCUUUCAUGAAGGCUCAUGAAAAUCCCACCCUUUCUUGCCUCCAACAUCAUUGGUUGUUGGCAGAAGUGUAGGUAUUUAGGGCCGGAUCUAAAUCUCACUGAAGUCAAUACAAGUCCUUCCACUGACAACCCUGUUGAUCUUUCUUUCAAGAAAGAAAUUUGAUGGGAGAAAUUCUUUGGCACCAACUCAAAAGUUCUGGGUGGCAUUCUGGAGACCCGCUUGGGACAUCCAAGACUAAAGUAGGAUGCUCUACUGCUUGUGGUGUCUGGCAGGGAAAAUCUCCAUGAGCAAAUCGCUCUAAAGUUACAACCAACAGCACUGGCCUUUAGGAGAAAUUGCAUGCACCUUCUCCAAGUAUUUAGUUUUGAUCACUGUGUCACAGUAUCUAUGGCAACUUCUCACUGGCAUUAGCUCAAAUGUUUUACACAACUGAAGAAGAAUGAAAAACAGGAUAUUUAAUGUGAAUGAGCAGAACAAUUACCAGGGUACAUACAUACACACACACACACACACACACUCCUAUUAAGUCAGACAGAAGAAAUUCCAUUUCUGCUAAGGCAAGUCCAUACAUAUUAUAAAACACUUGUUUUAAAAAAUAAAAUAAGAUGUGCGCCUGUCCCAUUGCCUCAGGAAGAAGUGUCAGGCAACAUCACCCUCACAUGCAGACACAGUGAGAAGUGUCACAGGGAACCAAAGGAUGGUGCGAGGACCAGGAACAUAAGGACAGUCAAGGAGCAAACCUGCAAACGAUUGGUAUACAGAAAAAUUCAAGCAUUUCCCCAAGAACACAACUGAUUGGAGAUUAGCUAAUGCAGCCUAUUAGAUGCAGAUCAGGUACAUCACUUUUUGUUUUAAUGCUUUGGCUUGAAACAGGUCUUUUCAUGCUUCUCGCACUUAAUGCUAGGAGCACUAUGUUUGAGAAACGUUCAUUUCUCCAUCACAAUGAGGAAUCUCCUUGCAAGUGUUUUAAUGGGUGUGUUCCUGUCAACAGAAACGUGACUAUUGGGGCACACAAGCUGAGUGAAGGAUUCACUGUUAAUAUUGCAUUAAUUGACAACGUACAAUGAAGUCUCACACCUGUUUAUUAUAAGUAAUUCAUAGAUAACCACUUCUAGUACACAUUUCCAUAUUGGUUUUAAGCUCAGUGACACCCAAACUUCACCUAAUUGCGGGUCUUGUUAGCAGUUUGCCAGGAGCCAGAAGGCUGUACCUACUUUGUGAAAAUGAUGAAAGUUGAAAUCACUUUCAUCCAUAAUAGAGAUGUAAGGCUUGAAGACUAUAUAUCCCAGCAUGCAACACCCCAUCAUGCUUGGGCCACUACACUAAAGGGGAGAGAGUGAUGGAUUUUGCUGGGCUGCAUUUGAUUCACAUGCCUCAUUUUGGCCACAUCAAUCUAGCUCAUGCAGCUGUCUGCACGCAAUGCUCUACAGUGAGAAAAACAAAGGUUUUUGUACUGUUGGAAUAAAAGCAGUGGUAACAAAGUCAUAGCUACAUAUUCUUCUCUACAUUUUUGUUUAUUGAGACAAACUAAUUAAAAGGCACAAACAUAGGGCAUAUGUUUACAUGGACAUUAUAACAAACAUAUACAUUAAAAGUGUAGGAAUGUGUUUCCUUUCUGCUAAACAGAAAGUUCCUAAGCUUUUAUAUAUACAAAAGUUGUACAAUUUGAUGUCCUAAAGUACAAAAGAUCAUUUAUAAAAUUAUUUUACACUAAAGUUCUAUUUUUUGUUUUUUGUUUUACUAUGUAGUCCAAGCCCCUAGAACUGUUUCACAUAAUGAUACAGAUACCUGUCACCUGACCUAGAAGUCUGGUAUUUGCUGCUUGUACUGACACGGUGGGGUAGAAAUGGAAGCAGUCCAUUUUGACUAGUCAGUCCUGCUAGCAUUCUGUAAAAUGCACGCACACUAAUCUCCAUUGCUUUCAACUUCAUUGAGAGAAAAACACUGCAACUUUAGUUGCGUUUUUUCCUCCCCCCCCUCCCCCCAAUGUAAAGUCUUGGUUUCAGGGGGUUCUUUUUAAACAAAGUUUUAAAAAUGUGAAUAUGUGACAUGAUAGUCUAAAAAGUAUAUCUGUUUCCCUAGACUCUGCUUUCUACUUUAUGUACAGAUAAACAGGUUAAGAAAUAAAAAGCACAUGUAGUUUAAACAUGUGUGAUCAUUUGUGGUGCAGUUCUGGGCUGGACAGCUCAGACUGCCACCCCCAAAACCCACACAAAUUGAUAGAAAUGUGUUAACACAAUAGAAUAGUAACAUAAAAAUGAUGAUGUUUGCAAAUAUUUACAAAGUUGAACAGAUUUGCACAACACUUGAUUAAGAAAUAGGGGGGAAAUUAAAAGACGCUCUCGGCUUGUCCUGAAGGGGCAUCCUACCUAGUUAGUGGUUAGAAUAAAAACUGUAUACAAUUUAA